rnacentral:rRNA from 1 species
CUUUCUUUGCUGGCGACCGGCGCACGGGUGAGUAACACGUAUCCAACCUGCCCUUUACUCGGGGAUAGCCUUUCGAAAGAGAGAUUAAUACCCGAUAGCAUAAUGAUUCCGCAUGGUUUCAUUAUUAAAGGAUUCCGGUAAAGGAUGGGGAUGCGUUCCAUUAGGUUGUUGGUGAGGUAACGGCCCACCAAGCCUUCGAUGGAUAGGGGUUCUGAGAGGAAGGUCCCCCACAUUGGAACUGAGACACGGUCCAA